rnacentral:rRNA from 1 species
CACCGGCGGCCCGAGUGGUAACCGCUUUUAUUGGGUCUAAAGGGUCUGUAGCCGGCCAAGUAAGUCCUUUGGGAAAUCUGGUAGCUCAACUAUCAGGCUGCCAGGGGAUACUGCUUGGCUUGGGACCGGGAGAGGUGAGAGGUACCUCGGGGGUAGGGGUGAAAUCUUGUGAUCCUCGAGGGACCACCAGUGGCGAAGGCGUCUCACCAGAACGGGUCCGACGGUAAGGGACGAAAGCUAGGGGCACGAACCGGAUUAGAUACCCGGGUAGUCCUAGCCGUAAACGAUGCUCGCUAGGUGUCAGUCACGGUGCGACCGUGAUUGGUGCCGUAGGGUAGCCGUGAAGCGAGCCACCUGGGAAGUAUGGCCGCAAGGCUGAAACUUAAGGAAUUGGCGGGGAGCACUACAACGGGUGGAGCCUGCGGUUC